rnacentral:rRNA from 1 species
UACGUAGGGGGCAAGCGUUAUCCGGAAUCACUGGGCGUAAAGGGUGCGUAGGCGGUCUAUCAAGCCAGAAGUGAAAGGCAUUGGCUCAACCAAUGUAAGCUUUUGGAACUGAUGGACUUGAGUGCAGGAGAGGAAAGUGGAAUUCCUAGUGUAGAGGUGAAAUUCGUAGAUAUUAGGAGGAACACCAGUGGCGAAGGCGACUUUCUGGACUGUAACUGACGCUGAGGCACGAAAGUGUGGGGAGCGAACAGG